GACGAACGCUGGCGGCGUGCUUAACACAUGCAAGUCGAACGGAAAGGCCCUGCUUUUGUGGGGUGCUCGAGUGGCGAACGGGUGAGUAACACGUGAGUAACCUGCCCUUGACUUCGGGAUAACUUCAGGAAACUGGGGCUAAUACCGGAUAGGAGCUCCUGCUGCAUGGUGGGGGUUGGAAAGUUUCGGCGGUUGGGGAUGGACUCGCGGCUUAUCAGCUUGUUGGUGGGGUAGUGGCUUACCAAGGCUUUGACGGGUAGCCGGCCUGAGAGGGUGACCGGCCACAUUGGGACUGAGAUACGGCCCAGACUCCUACGGGAGGCAGCAGUGGGGAAUAUUGCACAAUGGGCGGAAGCCUGAUGCAGCAACGCCGCGUGCGGGAUGACGGCCUUCGGGUUGUAAACCGCCUUCGCCUGUGACGAAGCGUGAGUGACGGUAAUGGGUAAAGAAGCACCGGCUAACUACGUG
rnacentral:rRNA from 1 species